UUUCAAUCGCCGUAAAAGAGUCCACGGACCCGCGAGACCAGAAUCGAGAUUGAAUUCGAUCUCUCUCUCUCUCUCUUUCCAUCUCGAUGGGCGAUCGCGCCGUUCGAUUGCGCGCAAAGCGUUUUGCGUACAUGAAAGGAAAUGGAGCGGAACGGGUCGUGGUUGAGGGCGAUGGUGGUUCUGACGUGCUUGGUUGCCGCGAGCGGGACGAGAGAACUUAGAGUGAGGUCAAAGGCUGAUAAAUCUGUUUACAAUCACACUCUUGCCACGAUAUUGGUGGAGUAUGCAUCUGCCGUUUACAUGUCAGAUUUGACAGAACUUUUUAGCUGGACAUGUCCUAGAUGUGAUGGAAAGACCAAGGGGUUUGAAGUUAUCGAACUGAUAGUUGACGUUCAGCACUGCUUACAGGCAUAUGUUGGGGUCGCCAAGGACCUUAAUGCUGUGGUUAUAGCUGUCAGAGGUACUCAAGAACAUAGCAUACAGAAUUGGGUUGAAGAUCUCUACUGGAAACAGCAUGACAUAAACUACUCUGGCAUGCCUGGUGCCAUGGUUCAUCGUGGAUUUUAUUAUGCUUAUCACAAUACGACAAUUCGACCUGGUAUUUUGGAUGCUGUUAUAAGAGCCAAGGAUCUAUAUGGAGACAUCAACGUCAUGGUGACAGGGCAUUCUAUGGGAGGGGCUAUGGCAUCCUUUUGCGGACUUGAUCUUGUGGUCAAUCAUGAAGCACGGAAUGUUCAGGUUUUAACAUUUGGACAACCUAGUAUUGGCAAUGCAGUGUUUGCGUCUUACUACAGUGACCGCGCGCCAAAUACGACACGUAUUACUAAUGGACAUGAUAUUGUGCCUCUGUACUAUUCUCGGUUCCCACAGAAGACUUACCAUCACUUCCCUAGAGAGGUAUGGCUAUAUAAUAUAGGAUUUGGUAGUCUGGUUUAUCAGGUUGAGAAAGUUUGUGAUAGCUCUGGAGAAGAUCCAUCAUGCAGCAGAUCAGUAACUGGUAACAGCCUUACGGACCAUUUAGUUUACUAUGGUGUGGGAUUAAUGGCUGAGACAUGGGGAUCGUGCAAAAUCGUCAUGGACGCACGAUUAAAGGAAUAUGGAGGUGAAGAUGUCAAAGGAAAUCUUUUUGUUUCCAGGAAUCUUUCUGCUUCUGCAUUGAGGCUGCCUUCAGACUCUGAUGCCAAGAACAACUUCAGUUAAAAUGCUCCUGGGUCAGCACCUUUUUUCUCAAAGAUCAUCAGUGACCUCUGUGAUGACGGUCAUUCCAUUGAUCUGUUGUCCAUAUCCAUCACAAGCAUAAGAGCUCUACUCAAAUUCACUCUGAAUCAAAAUUGGCAGAUGUGUGAACUUUGGAACUGUGAGACUUGCACGGUUGGGCAAUUAAUUGGUUUUACAAGGUGAAACAAAGAGUGCCAAGGGAGACCACUGCUCAAUCUGUGGCCUUACCUUCUGCUAUAGGCACAUUGUCACAAUAGACUUCUUGGCACAAGUACUUCAACUCUUUCCUGGCAGGGGAUUAUGAUCAAGCCAUCUUGGAAAUCGAUGAUGACCUUGUCUUGCAUCAGUUCCACUGGCAACCUUUGCUAAAUCUUAACUUUUAGGAGGUAAACGACUUAUAUCAUCUUGGCUUGGACUUGUAACACUGAUCAGCCUUUGGAACGAGAGUUGUAAGCUUUUACCUUCUUUUUUCCGGUAUACAAGAAUUAACAUCAGUGGAAA